AGAGCCUAAGAUAGAGAGAGGGCAGAUGAAGCUCGGUUGGAUCCCACAGGAACCCCACCAAAGUGACCUUCUCUGGAAGUUUCCCUCCCAGGCCUUUGUGCUUGGGUAACCUGGCCUUCCCUCUUUCCUUUCCCACAGCCCAGAAGGCAGACACCUGUGGCACAUCAUGGAGCCGAGCCCACCACUGAGCCCACCAGCCCAGACAGGGUUACCUUUUUGCGUGGCCGGAGCUUGUCCCGCCAGUCCUUCAGGUUCUGGUUGUGGCUUUCGUCCAGGGCCUUCAGCUUCUGGGUUUCAUGCUCUACCAGGAGGUGACACUUUUCAUUCUGGAACAUAUUCCAGGCAGAACAGGUGAGACUCUCUGCCUCCCAUCUAUACGUGACUGAAACAGUAUCUGGCAUUUUAUUCCUGGAAGUCUAUUAACUGACCCUGUGCUCAGGGCAGAGAACUGGCGUCAGAUGGAGAACCCCACGUCCUGUAAGACAGAGCUGGUCAUACUCAGCCCACUGCGAACGUUCAGUUUGUUUCACCGCUCUUCUGUUCCCAUGAAAGCUGGCAUCUACCCACAGACUAUUGCAACAGUGAUUUGGCUUCCAAACCAAAAUCAGAACCACCGUCCCACAAGUAGGAUGGUUCUUAGAGACCAUCUCAUGACAAAAGGAAUCAAGGGCUUUCCUGAAACAUCCGUGGCUCUAUUCGGAAUGUCAGAAUACAAGGACCCCAUUUUGCUUGGUCCACACCAACACAGAGGGGUCGAUGCCGUCCGGCUGCACUGGCCAUCAGAGUCCUGGCGCAGCCCCUGUCAUGUAAGUGAGCCAGAGGCAGCCCUGUAUGUCGGUCCUGUGUUUACGUCUUCACCGCAGACAGGGCCCAUUAGCUCUAAAGCCCACAGGCUCCAAACUCAGAUUUUCACUCAUGCAAUUAUUUUAAAUGUAGUUCAAACAACAGACUUCUAGCCAUUUGGAGCCUGCUUGCUUUGCAUACCCCUAUAAAACUGCUCCCAACAUCUGCUAGCCGUAGAUAAGAUAGCUUGGGGGCUCUAAACAGACCCCAAGCCCUGCGCCGGAGCUCUCCACCUCAGCAUCCCCCGCUGAGCUCCCCACUGCUGAGUGACAUCAUCCAGAUGCAUAAGCCUCCCCCAUCCCCUUCCUCCCCAGGGGUGGUGGCCCACACUUGUCUCUGGAAGAUCUCAUGCUGGGAGACUUGCCAGCAGACAAACCUGCCCCAAAACGCCACCGCACCAGGGUAGUUACGAGCUUGGCUUCAAGGUAAGGUCUGCAUUCAGGGUCCACUCUACCGCUCAUGAACUCUGCAACCUGGCCGAAGAGUCGUCACUCUCCAGGCCUCCCUUUCCUCAUCUAUAAAAACGGGGCCAGUAGCGGGGCCUGCCUUGGGUUAAGGAGAGGGUUCAAUGAGGUUAAGCUAGGAGAUUAAGGCACAGGGCCUGGCAGAGGAGUCUCUCAAUAGGAGAUGGCUGUUACCAAGGGGCUCUCCGUACCGCCCCUGCCUCCACGACCCUGUUAACCCAGCUCACUUAUUUACUAUUUCCACCCACUCUGUAUCGCCUCCUUUUCUCUUUCUCCCCUUGACAUCUGCAAUAACGUCACAUAGUGUUGGUGAGAACUGGUAUCUUUGCCUCAGUCCUGACCUCAGGGGGGUCUUCCUCACGUUUCACCAUGCAGGCUGUGGUCUGCUUCUCCGGUGGAGAAGACCUAACAGUUGUUUCUUGCCUGGGGCUGGGAUGUCCAUUCAUGGCGACAACACGGGCCAACGUGGCGCCAGGCGCCCCAUCCCCACCCCCCCGCUGCCGGGCACCCACCUCGAAGGAGCUCCUGCUUCUUAGAGAGGCACUCGCGCUCCUUGUCGCAGAUCUCCCGCCUGUUGUCCGCGGUGAUCCUCUUCAUCGCCAGCUCCAGGUCCUCCUUCUGCUUGGCUAGGAAGUCCCGGUCCUGUUGUUACAUAUUUAAACUUUUAGGUGUGUUUAUGGUAUGGUGGCUACUACAUCAUUGAGAUAUUUACAGGUAAAAAGACAGGAUGUCUGGACUCCAAAAUAACACAGUGGUGUGGGGGAGUGAGUGGCCCGGAGCUGAGAAUUACGGAGGUCAAGUGAGGGGUACAUGGAGGUUCAUUAUACUGUUAUACCUACUUCUGCUUAUGUUUUUAAUUUUCCAUAAUAAAAAGUAAAAACAAUAAAACUUAAGAAAUUUUAGGAAACAUGUAAGAAAUUAAAAAUUCCUACUAACCUUACCACCUGAGGCUAGCAACUGGUUUUGGUGUACCCAUGUAAAUGUAUCUACCUCUGUUGUUGUUUCACAAAAAUCAUCUUAAAAGGCUUGAAGAGAUACCUGUACACCCACAUUCAUGGCAGCAUUAUUCACAACAGCCAAGGGAUUGGAAACAAGUGUCCACAGACAGAUGAAUGGAUAAACAAAACACGGCAUAUACGUACAAUGAAGUAUUAUUCAGCCUUUGAAAGGAAGGAAAUUCCGCUACAUGCUACAGCAUGGAUGAAUCUUGAGGACAUGAUGAGUAGUCCUGGGGCUGGAUGGUGGCGAUGGAGUACACGAAGAUAUGAAGGUAUUUAGUACCACUGAACGGUACACGUCAAAACGGGGAAGAUGCCACAUCUUACGUCAAUUUUACCACUGUUUUAAAAAAAUUAUUAAAAAGGCCUUUCCAUGUCAUAAUGUAAUCUUCUAUCAAAAAUAAAUUUUAAUGGCUGCAAAUA